rnacentral:rRNA from 1 species
AGGCGAAGCAUAUGGACUCACACUGCCAAGAAAAGCUUCUAGCAAGUAAUCAUACUGCCCGUACCGUAAACCGACACAGGUAGUUGGGAAGAGAAUUCUAAGGUGAGCGAGCGAACUCUCGUUAAGGAACUCGGCAAAAUGACCCCGUAACUUCGGGAGAAGGGGUGCUUAUAGCAAUAUAAGCCGCAGUGAAUAGGCCCAAGCGACUGUUUACCAAAAACACAGGUCUCCGCAAAGUCGUAAGACGACGUAUGGGGGCUGACGCCUGCCCAGUGCCGGAAGGUUAAGGAAGUUGGUUAGGGUAACCGAAGCUAGCGACUGAAGCCCCGGUGAACGGCGGCCGUAACUAUAACGGUCCUAAGGUAGCGAAAUUCCUUGUCGGGUAAGUUCCGACCCGCACGAAUGGUGUAACGAUCUGGGAGCUGUCUCGGAGAGAGACUCGGCGGUCGACGCGGCCG